UGGGGAAUAUUGCACAAUGGGCGCAAGCCUGAUGCAGCCAUGCCGCGUGUAUGAAGAAGGCCUUCGGGUUGUAAAGUACUUUCAGCGGGGAGGAAGGGAGUAAAGUUAAUACCUUUGCUCAUUGACGUUACCCGCAGAAGAAGCACCGGCUAACUCCGUGCCAGCAGCCGCGGUAAUACGGAGGGUGCAAGCGUUAAUCGGAAUUACUGGGCGUAAAGCGCACGCAGGCGGUUUGUUAAGUCAGAUGUGAAAUCCCCGGUCUCAACCUGGGAACUGCAUCUGAUACUGGCAAGCUUGAGUCUCGUAGAGGGGGGUAGAAUUCCAGGUGUAGCGGUGAAAUGCGUAGAGAUCUGGAGGAAUACCGGUGGCGAAGGCGGCCCCCUGGACGAAGACUGACGCUCAGGUGCGAAAGCGUGGGGAGCAAACA
rnacentral:rRNA from 1 species